UUCUGUUUAAAUAUGUACACGUGUUGUGGACGCCGACGUUUCUUUGGAGACGUGAAUUUAUGCUUUGGAUGAAUAAUUAAAUUAUACAAACACGUCGGACUUUGACGUCAUCAGUGGUCGACCAAAACAAAAACAUGGCGGAAAGUCAUUCGGCUGGACUUCGGUAGAAACUUCUCUUCUUUUUUGUUUAUCAUCCUUUCGUCUGUUUAGAGUCUGUCAGUGAUUUUGUAGAAUUGCAAUACUGCGUUCGCUGUUGGUACUGUAGAAGCUUAUUUUGUUCUCCGGGAGUUGCCAGGGUUAGUUAGUUGGCAGGGGGGUGUUUAUGUUGGACUGCGCGGGUUUUUGGGUCGUGUCUAACGGAGACUGAAGGCACGAAUAAUGUUGUUAUCUUGCUGCACCAACGAACUUGGACCUUAUUGACUGCUGUCCGGGCGGAUUUACCAAAUAUAACCCUUAACUCACGUCCACUGUUUAAAAUCAAGUGGCCACUGAUAAAUUGGUAUUCAGGCUGAACUCACUCAACUGAGGAGCAUCAUGGAUGACGAUGAUGCCUUAUUUCUUGCUGAUUUGCUGUUGGAGGAAUGCAAGAAUACUCAACCUAAAGAAUCCUCAGAAGUGUCUGGACCGGAGAAAUUUACAUUUGUUUGGGUUGAGGAGGACGAGGAAGGGAAUCCUAUCCCAAAGGGGAGGAGAACAGGGAAGAAGCGGGUAAAGAGUUCGUCCUCAGCGUUUCCAUCCACACUUCCAUGGUUUUACAUAAUAGAUCAUCCAUGAUAGAGGGAUUCUACAGGCCACUGCCACCAACCACUCACAUCAGUGAAGAGAAGGGAGGAAAAUUCUCCUUCCAUGGAAGAGGUCUGUACUGUAUUUUAAAACCUCUUUUUAAUUAUGUUUGUCUCCUUUCUUCCCAGAGUGCAUUUUGCUAGUAAUGCAUCCAUGCUGUGACUGCUGCUCUGGGCAUACAACCUUUUCUGCAGGAAAGCAAGUAAUACUGAUUUGAAUGAAUGGUCGAUACAAUGUGUCCCUCCCAACUGUCAGCUGCUCCUGUGGGAAAGCUUUGGAUGUCGGUAUGUCAAGCUUUCGUUGGUAUGCUUGAGCAGCGCACAAAACUCUUUGGUCGGUGUGGUAAAAUAUGUGGCGACACCAUGCAAAAAUCAUUCCUGGAAUGGUCGUACGCAAAAUUUGAAGUUGAGAGGCUGUCUGAAGUCGCUCAGUUUCGGUGCCCAGCCUGCACACCCUCAAUGUUAGCUGUCUCAGUGGAUGGGAACCUGAACUUGAAAAAACCAUUGAAGGACUGUAUCUCAGCAUUAAGCAGCGGAAAUAUCAGCUGUAUCGUCAGGCUGAUGGCAACAAGAGAAGACAUCUGCUGAGAAAAAAGAUUUCAGUGGAAAAGAGAUCCUUAGAAGAUGCCAUCACAAAAUACAAUGCUGUUGUGCCGGAAACUGGCAAACUCCCUUCUCCCAACGAGCUCCUGGCUGAGGAAAACUAUUCCUGGCCUUGGGAAUGUCAUGGUGAUAUGUUAAAGAAAAAAAAGGUCUUCGACAAGGUAAUGCUGCUGAAACGACUGAAGGAAGAGGAGGUCAUUGUUGUCCGUGAAGUCAAGCAGCACUGGGAGUACAUGAGGAAUAUGGCUGGAAAUAUUGAAGAGAUUUCCUCCCAGCUUUCAGAAGGGAUCACUCAGCAAAGCGGCACAGAAGCAUUGACUGGGAGAGGACGUGAGGGGCUACUCUGUCUGCUGAAGAGAAGACUGUCAGCAAUUCAAGCUCAGCAGGGUGCAGCUCGCUCAACGUACCAACGUGUUUUUGGAUCGCAAGCCUUGUCUCUCGAUGAUUCGUCCACUGGUGAUGAAGAACCCCAUGAUAGCAGCUCCUCCACCGAAGAUGAAGAACACUAGCAUUGUAGCUCCUCUUCUGAACUUUGACCUCCCUCAUUAUAAAAUGAGGAAAACUGUUGUAAUUACCUGGCCUGCAGUAUGAAUGUGAAAUGUUAAAAUAAACUGUCCUGCAAUUGACUCUUUUUCUGAGUUAUGUACUAUUACUAUUUUGAAGUAGAUGCUGAUGCUUUUUAUGUAAAUUAUGAAUUAUUAAUUUG